GAAAAAAAUAUUAAAUUUCAUGGGGUAUUAUUUUGCAAAAGAGAACAAUAAACAAAAGAAAAAGUUGAAGACAUAUGUUUCAAUCUCAUUCAUUAAGAUGUCUUUAACUUGACACGUCAUGGUCUACGUGGAAUAAUCAAACCUUAUUGAGCACACAUUCAUUACCUUAUCAUCCGAAUGCACCUCCUCCAAUCAUUAUCCAAAUGUGAUAAACUAUAAACAAACCUUACCCUUACAGUGCCAUAUUAAUUUCUCGCUCCUUCAAUUUCGAUCAACGUUUUUAAAAUUGGAUUAGUGAUUAAAUCAGUUAAGUAAUCGGAUUGGUUAUUAUAAAAAAAAUUGAUUUAACAACUCAAUUCAACUAAUCCAUAUCAAUUUAUAGACUAAACAUUUUAAUGCAUUUCUUCCGAUUAAUAUCCUAAUCCGAUUCACGACCCAUAUUUAUUUGGCCAUUUGUUGCAUGAGCUUGAAUUUUUGUUUAGGGGCAAUCAUUUAACAAAUAAUUUAAGUAAUAUUUGAGUAUUUUGAAAGUAGGUAGACAAGAGCUUUAGUCUCACUUGUUCUUUCAAUGGACAAUAUAAAUUUUGGUCUCUAAACUUGGCAAUUAAGUUUACUUUGGUACUUGUAUUUUUUCCACUUUGAUUUUAAAACGUGGUAAUUAGUUUCAAUUUGGCCCAUGAACUCGAAUUAUGUCAAUAUUUGAUGAUGUGACCAGUAUUAUUGGAACAAGAUUGGAUCAGACGAAUUGAGAACUAAUUGAUAUAAAGGUCUGAACAAAUGGUUUGAAUCGAUUGACUCAAAAUGUGCUUAAAAUUGGUAAAAAUAAAAAAUCAUAACAAAAAUAGACAGUGGAACAUAUUGUAAUGGUUUAUUUUUUAUUUUGGGUUAAUAUAAAGUUUGCCCCCGAACUUGUAACACCCCUUACCUGUAUUCGACACCGGAAUAGGGUACGAGGUAUUACCAGAACACAUACACUUGUAAACGUAUUUAACUGAGUUAUAAAAUUUCAUCUAAAUUAAAACUUUCAAAAUUAUUAACAUGCUUCUAUAACUUUUCACAAUAUAUCCUCAAAAUAUUAUAAUCAUAAUAAUUAGGUCCUACGAGACCCGAUACAAACUCAUGCAACUCAAUGUUUCAUUUCCAUUUCAUUCAAUUCGCAAUUUCUCAUGCUUACAAUUCAAAUCAUAUCAUUAGCACUUUCCAUUUAAUUCACGUACAAUUCAAUGUCAUUAAGUUCAACACUAAUACGUAUUUACCAUUUAAUUCAACGUUUAUCAAUUAUACCAUUCAUUAACACAUUUACUAAGUUCACCUGUCAACCACAAUCAUUGGUGAGUCCCCUUGUAUAAACUCACUACCACUUAUCCAUUUACUAUAAUUCUUUUGGGCCAAUUUGUCACUUACCAUCCUUAAUCAAAUUAGGGAACGGUUACGGAAAAUUGAGUACUUCACUUCCACUUUGCCAUAGUAUAACUAUGGUCUUACGUAUGAUCACUUAUCACUUGUCCCUGAUCAGAUAAGUGUAGCUAGGCUACCACUUAUCACUUUGUCACUUGAUCACACUUAUCACUUUGUCACUUGAUCAGAUAAGUGUAGCUAAAGCUACCACUUAUCACUUUGUUACUUGAUCAGAUAAGUGUAGCUAAUGCUACCACUUAUCACUUUGUCUAUUGAUCAGAUAAGUGUAGCACUUAUCACUUUUUCACUUGAUUAGAUAAGUGUAGCUAAAGCUACCACUUAUCACUUUAUCUCUUGAUCAGAAGUACUCAAAUCCGGCGUUCCGCUUAAUUUGAUCAUUUAUUCGAUUUUCGCAUUUUUAUUUUAUUUUCAAUUCAACAAUAAAUAUAUAUUUCAUCAUACAUUAUAUAAUUCAUGAAAUUAACAUUUAAUCACUAAAUUUCAGCCAUAUGAACUUACUAUUUCAUUACCUUUCCACACCCGUUUCCUACGCAUAUCACAAGCACCAUAUCAAUUAGGCACUUACAAUUUCAAUGCAUAACUUAUAAAUUUAACGUGGCAUAAUCUAGCCACUGCUUGGCCAAAGCCUAAGCAUGUACACCAAAUACAUUAGCCAAAUACACAUAGCACAAGCAUUAUAAGCAUGGAUGAACACAACAUUUAUUCAUGUAUCACGCUUACCGAUAUGUGUUAAUUCAUAAACCAUUCAUGACAUUAUUUCAUACCAAAUCAUAUACCGAAUAUACCAUACACACAUACUAUGAAACUUUAUUUUCACAAUGAGCUUAAACCGUGACCAAUAAUGCACAAAUGCAAGCAUCAUUUCUAUUUCAUCAUUUAUCAAUUAUAAUCAAGCCUAUGACCAAUUAUACACAAAUCAUUCAUAUAUUUUUCAAUUUUCCUCCUCCUCCUCUCCAUUUCACAUCCUUAAUGUAUAUACCACACUUAAACAACAUUAACUAUAAUUUCACUAUUCACUCACAUGUAUAUUCAAAGCUGUUUAUCCAAGUCAGAGUCACUAAAUUAUUUUUAUCUGGAGCUACAGAGCUCCAAAUUAAGAUCCGUAAAUUUUCCAUAAAACUAGACUCACAUAUAUUCUUACUAUAAAAUUUUAAGAAUUUUUGGUUUAGCCAAUUAAUACAGUUUAUUCUUUAAACUUUCCCCUAUUUUGCUGUUUGACAGCUCCGACCACUCUCUACUAAAAAUGAAUUGUCUAAUUGUACAGAAUUCGGAUGAUGUUUCCGUUUAUUUCCUUUGAAAAUAGACUCAUCAAGGAUUCUAAAAAUAUAAAUUAUAACUCAUAAUUAUUUUUCUUCAAUUUUUGAUGAUUUUCUAAAGUCAGAACAGGAAAACCCGAAAUCAUUCUGACAUUGUCUCACAAAACUUAUUAUAUCUCAUGAUUUACAAUUCCAUUGCUCACACCAUUUCUUCUAUGAGAAACUAGACUCAAUAAGCUUUAAUUUCAUAUUUUAUUCUCAUUCUAAUUCAAUUCUCACAAUUUUUGGUGAUUUUUCAAAGUUAGACCACUGCUGCUGCCCAAAACUGUUUAGUGUAAUAUAUUGAUUACCAAUUUGACUCUAAACUUUUAAUACAUGAUAAUUUCGUCCCUAGGCUUGGAAAAUGAAAUUCUUACAAUAUAAUCCUUGAUUCAAGACUAGUAUUUCUCAUACAUAUCAAUAACAGCCCAUGGAUUCCAUGAAAUUUUAGAAUUUCUCCAUGAUUUCAAUACUUUUCAAUUCAAUCCCUAAAACAUGUUUUCAUCUAAUUUUUUUAAAUAAAACACCUUUAAACAUCCAUUAACAUCUCAAUUUCAUCACAAAAUAAGAAAAAUUAUAUGAACUUAUCAUUAGUAUCUUCCAAAACUUUCAAAAAAAUGAGAAACUAGUAGGAUACUAAGUUGGACCUAAUUGUAAAAGUGUAAAAAUAUAAAAAUUUCAAGGACAAAGCAAAUAUUAAACUUACUUGAAGCCAAAAUAUGGAAUACCAGCUCCAAACCCUCUUCCAUGGCUGUCUCCCACCGAAAUUUCAAGAAGAAAUGGUCUUGAAAUGCUUAAAAUAAAAUUUGG
rnacentral:lncRNA from 1 species